rnacentral:rRNA from 1 species
UACGGAGGAUCCAAGCGUUAUCCGGAAUCAUUGGGUUUAAAGGGUCCGUAGGCGGUUUAAUAAGUCAGUGGUGAAAGCCCAUCGCUCAACGGUGGAACGGCCAUUGAUACUGUUAGACUUGAAUUAUUAGGAAGUAACUAGAAUAUGUAGUGUAGCGGUGAAAAUGCUUAGAGAUUACAUGGAAUACCAAUUGCGAAGGCAGGUUACUACUAAUGGAUUGACGCUGAUGGACGAAAGCGUGGGUAGCGAACAGG